CUGGCUCAGAACGAACGCUGGCGGCGCGUUUUAAGCAUGCAAGUCGAGCGGUAAGCAUCCUUCGGGAUGCCUAGAGCGGCGAACGGGUGAGUAACACGUAGGUAAUCUGCCGUGCGAUUGGGGAUAGCCUGUGGAAACACAGGGUAAUACCGAAUACGACCUUCGGGGGAAAGGCGCUUCGGCGCCGUCGUACGAUGAGCCUGCGGCGCAUUAGUUAGUUGGCGGGGUAAAAGCCCACCAAGGCGACGAUGCGUAGCCGACCUGAGAGGGUGAUCGGCCACACUGGGACUGAGAUACGGCCCAGACUCCUACGGGAGGCAGCAGCUAAGAAUCUUCCGCAAUGGACGAAAGUCUGACGGAGCGACGCCGCGUGGGCGAGGAAGGCCGAAAGGUUGUAAAGCCCUUUUCUGCGUGAGGAAUAAGCAUCGGAGGCAAUGCCGGUGUGAUGACGGUAGCGCAGGAAUAAGCCCCGGCCAAUUACGUGCCAGCAGCCGCGGUAACACGUAUGGGGCGAGCGUUGUUCGGAAUUAUUGGGCGUAAAGGGCGCGCAGGCGGUCAUGCAAGCUUGGUGUGAAAGACCACGGCUCAACGGUGGAAACGCGCUGAGAACUGUAUGACUUGAGUUUCGGAGGGGGAACUGGAAUUCCAGGUGUAGGGGUGAAAUCUGUAGAUUUCUGGAAGAACAUCAGUGGCGAAGGCGAGUUCCUGGCCGACAACUGACGCUNAGGCGCGAAAGCGUGGGGAGCGAACAGGAUUAGAUACCCUGGUAGUCCACGCCGUAAACGAUGUGCACUAGGUGUUGGGCUUUCGAAGGCUCAGUGCCGCAAGUUAACACGUUAAGUGCACCGCCUGGGGAGUAUGC
rnacentral:rRNA from 1 species